UACAGAGGUCUCAAGCGUUGUUCGGAUUCAUUGGGCGUAAAGGGUGCGUAGGUGGCAUAGAAAGUUUGAUGUGAAAGCUCAGGGCUUAACCCUGAAAUGGCAUUGAAUACUGCUGUGCUGGAGGUUUGGAGGGGGGACUGGAAUUCUUGGUGUAGCAGUGAAAUGCGUAGAUAUCAAGAGGAACACCAGUGGCGAAGGCGAGUCCCUGGACAACACCUGACACUGAGGCACGAAAGCUAGGGGAGCAAACAGG
rnacentral:rRNA from 1 species